rnacentral:rRNA from 1 species
AAACUCUUCGCUUUGUGUCACAGGCCUUCCAAGGCACCGAUCCCGCCCUGGGUCUGUGAGGAGGGAUCCGGCCACACUGGGAAUGAGACACGGCCCAGACUCGUACGGGAGGCAGCAGUGGGGAAUAUUGGACAAUGGGUGCCUAGCCUGAUCCAGCCAUGCCGCGUGUGUGAAGAAGGCCUUUUGGUUGCAAAUCACUUUAAGCGAGGAGGAGGCCUACCUGGAUUAAUACUCUAGAAUAGUGGACGUUACUCGCAGAAUAAGCACCGGCUAACUCUGUGCCGGCAGCCGCUGUAAUACAGAGGGUGCGAGCGUUAAUCGGAUUUACUGGGCGUAAAGCGUGCGUAGGCGGCUUUUUAAGUCGGAUGUGAAAUCCCUGAGCUUAACUUAGGAAUUUCAUUCGAUACUGGGAAGCUAGAGUAUGGGAGAGGAUGGUAGAAUUCCAGGUGUAGCGGUGAAACGUGUAGAUAUCAGGAAGAACACUGGAGGCGAAGGCGGCUUACUGGACGAUUACUGACGCUGAGGCUCGAAAGCGUGGGGAGCGAACAGG